AUUGAACGCUGGCGGCAGGCCUAACACAUGCAAGUCGAGCGAGCGGCGGACGGGUGAGUAAUGUCUGGGAAACUGCCUGAUGGAGGGGGAUAACUACUGGAAACGGUAGCUAAUACCGCAUACCAUCAGAUGUUCCCAGAUGGGAUUAGCUAGUAGGUGGGGUACCGGCUCACCUAGGCGACGAUCCCUCGCUGGUCUGAGAGGAGGACCAGCCACACUGGAACUGAGACAAGGUCCAGACUCAUACGGGAGGCAGCAGUGGGGAAUAGUGCACAAUGGGCGAAAGCCGGAUGCAGCAAUGCCGCGGGUGGGAAGAAGGCCUGCGGGUUGUAAAGCACUUUCAGCGGGGAGGCGUUACCCGCAGAAGAAGCACCGGCUAACUCCGUGCCAGCAGCCGCGGUAAUUC
rnacentral:rRNA from 1 species